GAGUUUGAUCAUGGCUCAGGAUGAACGCUAGCGGCAGGCUUAAUACAUGCAAGUCGAGGGGCAGCAGCUUUAUAGCAAUAUAGAGGCUGGCGACCGGCAAACGGGUGCGGAACACGUACACAACCUUCCUUGAAUAGGGGGAUAGCCCAUAGAAAUGUGGAUUAAUACCCCGUAAUAUAGCGGUGUGGCAUCACACUGUUAUUAUAGUUUCGGCGAUUCGAGAUGGGUGUGCGGCUGAUUAGGUAGUUGGCGGGGUAAAGGCCCACCAAGCCUUCGAUCAGUAGCUGAUGUGAGAGCAUGAUCAGCCACACGGGCACUGAGACACGGGCCCGACUCCUACGGGAGGCAGCAGUAAGGAAUAUUGGUCAAUGGACGCAAGUCUGAACCAGCCAUGCCGCGUGAAGGAUGAAGGUCCUCUGGAUUGUAAACUUCUUUUAUAGGGGGCGAAAAAAGGUCUUUCUAGAUCACUUGACAGUACCCUAUGAAUAAGCACCGGCUAACUCCGUGCCAGCAGCCGCGGUAAUACGGAGGGUGCAAGCGUUAUCCGGAUUCACUGGGUUUAAAGGGUGCGUAGGCGGGUAGGUAAGUCAGAGGUGAAAUCCUGGAGCUUAACUCCAGAACUGCCUUUGAUACUAUCUAUCUUGAAUAUGGUGGAGGUAAGCGGAAUAUGUCAUGUAKCGGUGAAAUGYAUAGAUAUGACAUAGAACACCUAUGGCGAAGGCAGCUUAYWACGCCUAUAUUGACGCUGAGGCACAAAGCGUGGGGGUYAAACAGGAUAA
rnacentral:rRNA from 1 species